UCUAAAAUUUCUUGAUAAAGAUAACUGUGAUAAGAGUAAAUUAGCAUCAUUUGCAACUCCCGCCGUAGUUGCCGGUGGAAAAGUAGGCGGAAAAGUGUAGGAAACUUGGAGAACCGCAGCGCGAACCACGAUAAAGUAGUACAGAAAUCUGAGGCCGCGAUCCGGGAGUUUCGAAAGUUAUCAUCACGACUAGGAUCUCCUGCAAUUAAGAGUACGGAUAAUCGCUACCAAAGUGAACCAACAGAUUGCACCUAAUCGGUCCAUCUUACAUCCGGAACAUCCGCUUUUUUUCCAUCGAAGACACGGGAUAGCAAAAGCACGAGUUGGAACAAAACGUGCGACCGAAUUUUUAGAAUCUUUUUGUCGAAAUAAGAAUCCGGAAGGCAUGAAGGCUAUUAUCCAGCGUGUUACAUCAGCCAGUGUAACAGUGGGGGAUGAAAUCGUCAGCUCUAUUGGCCGCGGAUUGUGCGUUCUGGUGGGCAUUUCGGCCGAUGAUAAUGCAAACGAUGUAGACUGGCUUGCCCGGAAGCUCCUAAACAUUCGUCUGUUUGAAGAAGCCGGAACAGGAAAACGGUGGAUGCAAUCCGUUACCGAUCAACAGCUGGAGGUUCUGUGCGUGAGCCAAUUCACGCUCUAUCACCGGUUAAAGGGUAACCGACCGGAUUUCAGCCGUGCCAUGCAGGGUACCGAAGCACAAGAGCUAUAUGGAACGUUACUGACGAAGCUGCGGGAUCUGUACCUUGCCGAUAGAAUCAAGGAUGGUCGGUUCGGUGCAAUGAUGCAGGUGCACAUUCAAAACGAUGGACCUGUAACGCUUGAGAUUGAAUCACCCCCACAAAGGGAGCAACAAAAACAAAAACUACAGCGAUCGACGACCGGUACGAAGCCGCAGAGUAAUAUCGAAUUAAAUGAAUGAUUACGAGAAAAACUAUGUAUCGAUAGAAAUUUUGUAAAACGACGUUUUCUGGGAAAAGAUUCCGAAACGAAGCGAAAUCGAAGGUGAAAGUGACAUGAUAUUUUUUGGAAAGUAAUUGUUUUACGCGCAACACGUGCGAUGGGCUUUUAGCGCUGCUCAUCGUCCUGUUCCUGUGGAAAUACAAGUUUCAUUAACAUUUGAAAUAAAUAAAACCCCUCGCUAUUGCAUGUUUAUCU